rnacentral:rRNA from 1 species
CAGCCGCCACGGGAAUACGUAGGUGGCAAGCGUUAUCCGGAAUUAUUGGGCGUAAAGCGCGCGUAGGCGGUUUUUUAAGUCUGAUGUGAAAGCCCACGGCUCAACCGUGGAGGGUCAUUGGAAACUGGAAAACUUGAGUGCAGAAGAGGAAAGUGGAAUUCCAAGUGUAGCGGUGAAAUGCGCAGAGAUAUGGAGGAACACCAGUGGCGAAGGCGACUUUCUGGUCUGUAACUGACGCUGAGGAGCGAAAGCGUGGGGAGCGAACAGGAUUAGAUACCCCAGUAGUCCCUGUCUCUUAUAC